rnacentral:ncRNA from 1 species
UUGUGAUGGGAGUGGGACAGAAAUGAUAUUUUCGAAAAAUUUAUUUCGUCGUCCCACCCCAACUUGCACAUUAUUGUAAGCUGACUUUUCGUCAGCUUCUGUGUUGGGGCCCACACCCCAACUUGCAUUGCCUGUAGAAUUUCUUUUCGAAAUUCUCUGUGUUGGAGCCCCUGACUAGGAUUGAAAAAAGCUUGUUACAAGCGCAUUUUCGUUCAGUCAACUACUGCCAAUAUAACUUCGUAGAGCAUAGAACAUUGAUUU